rnacentral:rRNA from 1 species
GUGUCAGCAGCCGCGGUAAUAUGUAGGGUGCGAGCGUUAAUCGGAAUUACUGGGCGUAAAGCGUGCGCAGGCGGUGAUGUAAGACAGAUGUGAAAUCCCCGGGCUCAACCCGGGAACUGCAUUUGUGACUGCAUCGCUGGAGUGCGGCAGAGGGGGAUGGAAUUCCGCGUGUAGCAGUGAAAUGCGUAGAUAUGCGGAGGAACACCGAUGGCGAAGGCAAUCCCCUGGGCCUGCACUGACGCUCAUGCACGAAAGCGUGGGGAGCAAACAGGAUUAGAAACCCUCGUAGUCC